rnacentral:rRNA from 1 species
GACGAACGCUGGCGGCGUGCUUAACACAUGCAAGUCGAACGGAAGGGCCCUGCUUGCCGGGUACUCGAGUGGCGAACGGGUGAGUAACACGUGGGUGAUCUGCCCUGCACUUCGGGAUAAGCUUGGGAAACUGGGUCUAAUACCGGAUAGGAACCAUCUUUAGUGUGGUGGUUGGAAAGUUUUUUCGGUGUAGGAUGAGCUCGCGGCCUAUCAGCUUGUUGGUGGGGUAAUGGCCUACCAAGGCGGCGACGGGUAGCCGGCCUGAGAGGGUGUACGGCCACAUUGGGACUGAGAUACGGCCCAGACUCCUACGGGAGGCAGCAGUGGGGAAUAUUGCACAAUGGGCGCAAGCCUGAUGCAGCGACGCCGCGUGGGGGAUGAAGGCCUUCGGGUUGUAAACUCCUUUCGCUAGGGACGAAGCUUUGUUGUGACGGUACCUAGAUAAGAAGCACCGGCUAACUACGUG